UGGGGAAUAUUGCACAAUGGGCGCAAGCCUGAUGCAGCCAUGCCGCGUGUGUGAAGAAGGCCUUCGGGUUGUAAAGCACUUUCAGCGAGGAGGAAGGUGGUGAGCUUAAUACGCUCAUCAAUUGACGUUACUCGCAGAAGAAGCACCGGCUAACUCCGUGCCAGCAGCCGCGGUAAUACGGAGGGUGCAAGCGUUAAUCGGAAUUACUGGGCGUAAAGCGCACGCAGGCGGUUUGUUAAGUCAGAUGUGAAAUCCCCGGGCUCAACCUGGGAACUGCAUUUGAAACUGGCAAGCUAGAGUCUCGUAGAGGGGGGUAGAAUUCCAGGUGUAGCGGUGAAAUGCGUAGAGAUCUGGAGGAAUACCGGUGGCGAAGGCGGCCCCCUGGACGAAGACUGACGCUCAGGUGCGAAAGCGUGGGGCAGCAAACAGGAUUAGAUACCCUGGUAGUCCACGCUGUAAACGAUGUCGAUUUGGAGGUUGUCGCCCUUGAGGCGUGGCUUCGGAGCUAACGCGUUAAAUCGACCGCCUGGGGAGUACGGCCGCAAGGUUAAAACU
rnacentral:rRNA from 1 species